UCGGGUGAUCAACCGUCAUGGUUUGCCUGGGACUGAGGGGUUUCUUGGAAUGCAAGGCUUCCAGUGCUCAAGCCAG
ensembl:miRNA